rnacentral:rRNA from 1 species
GACGAACGCUGGCGGCGUGCUUAACACAUGCAAGUCGAACGGAAAGGCCCUGCUUUUGUGGGGUGCUCGAUUGGCGAACGGGUGAGUAACACGUGAGUAACCUGCCCUUGACUUUGGGAUAACUUCAGGGAACUGGGGCUCAUACCGGGUAGGAGCUCCUGCUGCAUGGUGGGGGUUGGAAAGUUUCGGCGUUUGGGGAUGGACUCGCGGCUUAUCAGCUUGUUUGUGGGGUAGUGGCUUACCCAGGCUUUGACGGGUAGCCGGCCUGAGAGGGUGAGCGGCGACAUUGGGACUGAGAUACGGCCCAGACUCCUAAGGGAGGCAGCAGUGGGGAAGAUUGCACAAGGGGCGGAAGCCUGAUGAAGAAACGCCGCGUGCGGGAUGACGGCCUUAGGGUUGUAAACCGAUUUCGCCUGUGACGAAGCGUGAGUGAAGGUAAUGGGUAAAGAAGCACAGGCUAACUACGUG